rnacentral:rRNA from 1 species
GCUGACGAGUGGCGGACGGGUGAGUAAUGUCUGGGAAACUGCCUGAUGGAGGGGGAUAACUACUGGAAACGGUGGCUAAUACCGCAUAACGUCGCAAGACCAAAGAGGGGGACCUUCGGGCCUCUUGCCAUCAGAUGUGCCCAGAUGGGAUUAGCUUGUUGGUGAGGUAACGGCUCACCAAGGCGACGAUCCCUAGCUGGUCUGAGAGGAUGACCAGCCACACUGGAACUGAGACACGGUCCAGACUCCUACGGGAGGCAGCAGUGGGGAAUAUUGCACAAUGGGCGCAAGCCUGAUGCAGCCAUGCCGCGUGUAUGAAGAAGGCCUUCGGGUUGUAAAGUACUUUCAGCGGGGAGGAAGGUGUUGUGGUUAAUAACCGCAGCAAUUGACGUUACCCGCAGAAGAAGCACCGGCUAACUCCGUGCCAGCAGCCGCGGUAAUACGGAGGGUGCAAGCGUUAAUCGGAAUUACUGGGCGUAAAGCGCACGCAGGCGGUCUGUCAAGUCGGAUGUGAAAUCCCCGGGCUCAACCUGGGAACUGCAUUCGAAACUGGCAGGCUUGAGUCUUGUAGAGGGGGGUAGAAUUCCAGGUGUAGCGGUGAAAUGCGUAGAGAUCUGGAGGAAUACCGGUGGCGAAGGCGGCCCCCUGGACAAAGACUGACGCUCAGGUGCGAAAGCGUGGGGAGCAAACAGGAUUAGAUACCCUGGUAGUCCACGCCGUAAACGAUGUCUACUUGGAGGUUGUGCCCUUGAGGCGUGGCUUCCGGAGCUAACGCGUUAAGUAGACCGCCUGGGGAGUACGGCCGCAAGGUUAAAACUCAAAUGAAUUGACGGGGGCCCGCACAAGCGGUGGAGCAUGUGGUUUAAUUCGAUGCAACGCGAAGAACCUUACCUGGUCUUGACAUCCACAGAAGAAUCCAGAGAUGGAUUUGUGCCUUCGGGAACUGUGAGACAGGUGCUGCAUGGCUGUCGUCAGCUCGUGUUGUGAAAUGUUGGGUUAAGUCCCGCAACGAGCGCAAC